CCUACGGGCGGCAGCAGUGGGGAAUAUUGGACAAUGGGCGAAAGCCUGAUCCAGCCAUGCCGCGUGUGUGAAGAAGGCCUUCGGGUUGUAAAGCACUUUCAGUGGGGAAGAAAGCCUUGGGGCUAAUACCCUCGAGGAAGGACAUCACCCACAGAAGAAGCACCGGCUAACUCCGUGCCAGCAGCCGCGGUAAUACGGAGGGUGCGAGCGUUAAUCGGAAUUACUGGGCGUAAAGCGCGCGUAGGCGGUCUGAUAAGCCGGUUGUGAAAGCCCCGGGCUCAACCUGGGAACGGCAUCCGGAACUGUCAGGCUAGAGUGCAGGAGAGGAAGGUAGAAUUCCCGGUGUAGCGGUGAAAUGCGUAGAGAUCGGGAGGAAUACCAGUGGCGAAGGCGGCCUUCUGGACUGACACUGACGCUGAGGUGCGAAAGCGUGGGUAGCAAACAGGAUUAGAUACCCCGGAAGUC
rnacentral:rRNA from 1 species